rnacentral:lncRNA from 1 species
ACUUAGCAAAUCAACAUACAGUACGUUGCCAGGCAGACACUCCUGAUUGGUCAUUUUGAAAUAAUAUUCUGUCUGAUUCUGAAUACUGUAUAUUGUGAAACUCUUCAUUGGACCAACACUGAAGGACAGCAUUAUGCUGAAGAAGACUGUUGUUGGUGGCCAUUAUUUCUUCCCUCACACCCCUCAGAUAUUCACACAGUCAGUGGCAGAUGGCUCAGCUCAAGUUCUUCUGGUUGCUGCAAAUUACCUAAAGAGGGAGAUGGAUGGUCUGCAUUAUUGUCCACACAAGCAGCUGGCAAUCCAAGGUCAGAUCAUUGCUGUGCAAUAUGUGGCAUGGCCAGAGGAGGCACUGUCAGACCAGAAAACUGUAGACGUAACUGAAACACAGGGAAACAGCACCAUCUGGUGUACAGAGCUCACUCAGCAGACGGGGGAAAAACAACCCAAGAAGAGAGUGAUGAAGCAAUGCUACAUCACUCGUGCCAGGAUGCAAGAGAAAAGAGAAGCUGGCCGUGGCUUUACAGAAUAGGAGCUAGUGGAGCAGGAAGAGGAGAGUGAUUCUGAAUCAGAGGAAGAAGUUGGUCCUCUAGAAGGAAACCCAGACCAAACCAGAGCCAGUGAACAACAAAGUCCAUCAGAAUGACGGCGCUCCAAGAGAGAGUGGUUACCUACUGUGGAUGGAUCAUCGGGGAAAGCAGCUCGUGGCUGAAGCAGAGAUGAGAAGUGUCAGAAUAUUUGGGUCAAUGACGAAUAAGGUUUUCAAAAACAUUUUAAAAGGGAAAAAUAUUAAUUUCGAAACAGUUUUUAUGUUCCCUUGAGUGUUACUUACAAUUUGUAUGCACAUUCAGGAUUUGUCGCUUUUUAUGCAACUUCAAUUUACCACCUAAAAAA